GACGAACGCUGGCGGCGUGCUUAACACAUGCAAGUCGAACGGAGAAGCCCUUCGGGUUGUCUCAGUGCCGAACGGGUGGGUAACACGUUAGCAAGCUGCCCCUGGCCCUGGGACAACCACUGGAAACGGUGGCUAAUACCCUAUACGACCCGCCUCUGCAUCACGGGUGGGUGGAAUGGUUUUCGGCUGGUGAUGGGCUCGCGGCUUAUCAGCUUGUUGGUGAGGUGCAGGCUCACCAAGGCGACGACGGGUAGCCGGCCUGAGAGGGCGACCGGCCACAAUGGGACUGAGACACGGCCCAGACGCCUACGGGAGGCAGCAGUGGGGAAUAUUGCACAAUGGGCGAAAGCCUGAUGCAGCGACGCCGCGUGAGGGAUGACGGCCUUCGGGUUGUAAACCUCUUUCAGCUCCGAAGAAGCGAAAGUGACGGUAGGAGCAGAAGAAGCACCGGCUAACUACGUG
rnacentral:rRNA from 1 species